rnacentral:misc_RNA from 1 species
UCUCCGUUGGUGAACCAGCGGAGGGAUCAUUACUGAGUGUAAAAACUCCCAAACCCAUUGUGAACAUACCACUGUUGCUUCGGCGGAUGCGCCCCGGGCGCGCUCCUCACAGGGCGUGCCCCGGAACCAGGCGCCCGCCGGGGGACCGAAACUCUUGUUUUUAUAGGAUCUCUGAGUGUGAUUAUAAAAUAAAUCAAAACUUUCAACAACGGAUCUCUUGGCUCUAGCAUCGAUGAAGAACGCAGC